CAACCAUGUCAUGUUUACACCACAUAAAUUUCUUGUGGAAUAUAAGUCCUUAAAAAUCUAAUUAAGAAGCGAUUCCGCACAUUUUUUGUUAUACUGCUUGGCUCGGUUUGAAUCAAUAAAUACACUUGACAUCAAUAUGACCGCUAGGAACCAAAAUAUGUGUCGGUAUCGGUCAUGCAAGUGCGAAUACGUUCACGGCAAGUUCUUAGUGACAUUCAACCGACGGAGAAAGCUUCUGAGGUGAGACGAUGAGCUGACCCCGCUCCCACGAAAGACGGAUUUAAUUUUAUACCCAACUACUUCUG